rnacentral:rRNA from 1 species
GUGCCAGCAGCCGCGGUAAUACGUAGGGUGCGAGCGUUGUCCGGAUUUAUUGGGCGUAAAGGGCUCGUAGGUGGUUGAUCGCGUCGGAAGUGUAAUCUUGGGGCUUAACCCUGAGCGUGCUUUCGAUACGGGUUGACUUGAGGAAGGUAGGGGAGAAUGGAAUUCCUGGUGGAGCGGUGGAAUGCGCAGAUAUCAGGAGGAACACCAGUGGCGAAGGCGGUUCUCUGGGCCUUUCCUGACGCUGAGGAGCGAAAGCGUGGGGAGCGAACAGGCUUAGAUACCCUGGUAGUCCACGCUGUAAACGGUGGGUACUAGGUGUGGGGUCCAUUCCACGGGUUCCGUGCCGUAGCUAACGCUUUAAGUACCCCGCCUGGGGAGUACGGCCGCAAGGCUAAAACUCAAAGGAAUUGACGGGGCCCCGCACAAGCGGCGGAGCAUGCGGAUUAAUUCGAUGCAACGCGUANAACCUUACCUGGGUUUGACAUGGAUCGGGAGUGCUCANAGAUGGGUGUGCCUCUUUUGGGGUCGGUUCACAGGUGGUGCAUGGCUGUCGUCAGCUCGUGUCGUGAGAUGUUGGGUUAAGUCCCGCAACGAGCGCAACCCUUGUUCACUGUUGCCAGCACGUUAUGGUGGGGACUCAGUGGAGACCGCCGGGGUCAACUCGGAGGAAGGNGGGGAUGACGUCAAGUCAUCAUGCCCCUUAUGUCCAGGGCUUCACGCAUGCUACAAUGGCUGGUACAGAGAGUGGCGAGCCUGUGAGGGUGAGCGAAUC